rnacentral:misc_RNA from 1 species
AGAAAAUGUUAGAGGCUGGAGUACUGGAUAAUGUUGAUGCCAUUUUUGGGUUGCAUGUAAGUUCCAGGCAUCCUUUUGGUAUGGUCAUCUCCAAGCCUGGUCCUAUUCUGGCUGCAAGUGGUUUCUUUGAGGCAGUUAUUGGUGGUAAGGGAGGUCAUGCUGCUCUACCCCAACACACAAUUGACCCAAUUUUAGCAGCUUCCAACAUAAUUGUUAGUUUGCAACAUCUUGUCUCGCGUGAAGCCGAUCCUUUGGAUUCACAGGUGGUUACAAUAGCAAAGUUUCAAGGCGGUGGUGCAUUCAAUGUCAUACCAGAUUCUGUUACAAUUGGAGGCACUUUCAGGGCAUUUUCAAAAGAAAGCUUCAACCAACUUAAACAGAGAAUUAUAGAGGUUAUCACAAAACAGGCAAACGUUCAGAGGUGCAAUGCCACUGUCGAGUUAAAUGAAGAUCAAAAGCCUUUUUUUCCAGUUACAUUGAAUGACCAAAAUCUUUACAAACAUUUUCAAACUGUUGCCGGGGACAUGUUGGGUACUAACAACAUUCUUGAUAUGCAACCAUUGAUGGGAACAGAAGACUUUGGAUUCUAUGGUGAAGUGAUUCCAGGACUGUUCUACUUUGUUGGGAUGAAAAAUGAAAGUGUAGGAAAGUUCGAACAAGGACAUUCACCUUAUUACAUAGUAAAUGAAGAUGUUCUUCCUUAUGGUGCGGCAUUGCAUGCAUCAAUCGCCACAAGGUACCUUCUAGAGUACUCAACCAAAUCUGCUUCAACUAAAGGACACUCUUAUGAUGAGCUUUAAAGAUUUGUAUUUGUAUGAUAGGAAUAUUAUUAGAGCAGUGU